rnacentral:rRNA from 1 species
GACGAACGCUGGCGGCGUGCUUAACACAUGCAAGUCGAACGGAAAGGCCCCCUUGUGGGGUACUCGAGUGGCGAACGGGUGAGUAACACGUGAGUAACCUACCCUUGACUUUGGGAUAACUUCAGGAAACUGGGGCUAAUACCGGAUAGGAGCUCCUGCUGCAUGGUGGGGGUUGGAAAGUUUCGGCGGUUGGGGAUGGACUCGCGGCUUAUCAGCUUGUUGGUGGGGUAGUGGCUCACCAAGGCUUUGACGGGUAGCCGGCCUGAGAGGGUGACCGGCCACAUUGGGAAUGAGAUACGGCCCAGACUCCUACGGGAGGCAGCAGUGGGGAAUAUUGCACAAUGGGCGGAAGCCUGAUGCAGCAACGCCGCGUGCGGGAUGACGGCCUUCGGGUUGUAAACCGCUUUCGCCUGUGACGAAGCGUGAGUGACGGUAAUGGGUAAAGAAGCACCGGCUAACUACGUG